rnacentral:rRNA from 1 species
UACGUAGGGGGCAAGCGUUAUCCGGAAUUACUGGGUGUAAAGGGCGCGUAGGCGGUUAUUUAAGUUAGAUGUGAAAUCCCAAGGCUCAACUUUGGAACUGCCUCUAAAACUGGGUAACUAGAGUGUGGGAGAGGAAAGCGGAAUUCUCAGUGUAGCGGUGAAAUGCGUAGAUAUUGAGAGGAACACCGGUGGCGAAGGCGGCUUUCUGGACCAUAACUGACGCUGAGGCGCGAAAGCGUGGGGAGCAAACAGG